rnacentral:rRNA from 1 species
CGAAUGGAUAAGAGAGAGCAACGAUCGACGAGUGGAGGAAAAAAAACCCCAUCGGCUUCAAUAUCCAAGAUACACACGAGACAGGCGGAGAGUUCCAUGGCCGGCCGGCGCCACCUCCACGCGCGCCGCCGCACAGGCGUUCACCGGCGGCGAGAGGAACUCCCGCCGCGCUCGUCCUCGUCCGAGGAACCGCCAGGGAGCAGCGUCCCGGGCGCGACGCCGUUCGCGGGUCCCAGCAUGGCGCCCGCGGCUGCUCGAUGGCGAGGCCGCCGGCGAGUUGGGCUACGGGAGGCCAAGGGCCACGAGGUGGCGACUGGCGACGUGCGCCUGUCCUCGGCGAAGGCGGCGGUCUCGCGGGGGUCGGCGAGGGAAGAGGCGCGACAGACGUAUUCGCAUCCACGGCCGCGCAGCCGAGGGAGGCCGACGUGCUGCCCCUCAGGAGGGCAGCCGCCAAGAGGCGACGGGGUCAACGGGCAGAGGCGCGGUUGAGGCGGCCGUGAACACCACCUUCUCCACGGCGGCGAUGGGUGAUGAAGCAACGGCGGCGAACGUCGUCGCGACAGAGGCAUUGCUCUAUUCUCACCUUUAGCCUGUUUUGAUCCGGUGUUCUCCAUCCCUGCUCCAUGGCGGACGACGCCGGAGGGGGUGGAGGCGGAGCCCAGGCGGUUGGCGCAGGCGCGACGGCGGCCACGGGCACGGCCGGGCGGCGGCCAGUCGAGGCCGGGCGAAGCGCGAGGAGCGCGGCCACGGCGUGUACGCAGGCGGCGAGGCCACGACGCAGGAGGUCGUGACCACGACUUUGGCUACAGCCGAGCGCACGGGCAUGGAGUCGUCAGCCGUUAGCGGAGGCGGAAGAGGGCCGAGGCAGCGAGGACCAUCUCGGCGCAGUUGGUGCUGUGGCCGCGUCCAACGGCGCGGUGGCCGGGUCUUGUGGUGUGGUGGCCAUGGCCUGGUGCGGGCUCGGGCGGAGCGCGGGCAGUGGCCACGACGCACAGCCGGGCGUGGGACGUCUUGCGGCGCGGGGCCCGAGGCGUCGUGUCGCCUGCUUCGCCAUGGCUGGUGCGUGAAGUCCAGGCCGAGGGCUCUGCGACUUCAACGCCUUGUGUUCCAUGCCGGCAGCGCCGUGCACACUGCCGUCGUUCCCGUUUUGUGGCCUAAUUGCUUCUCGGCAGAGAAAAGUGCUGAUAACGUAUUGAGAGUCAAUCGUAAACUAACAAGGGAUCUGAACAAAUGAUCA